CGAGAAAACUUUAGUCAAUGUGCGAAAGACACGACAAGGUUAAUCCGAGUGGUUUCUGCUAAAGGAACCUUUUGUUCAGUCCUAGAAACACUGGUGAAUAAGGGGUGGGCAAGUUCUGGUGUCAGCCGCCGCGGUAAAACCAGCACCUCAAGUGGUCAGGAUGAUUAUUGGGCCUAAAGCAUCCGUAGCCUGCUUUGUUAGUUUUCGGUUAAAUCCAUUUGCUCAACGAGUGGGCUGCCGGGAAUACUGCAAAGCUAGGGAGUGGGAGAGGUAGACGGUACUCGGUAGGAAGGGGUAAAAUCCUUUGAUCUAUUGAUGACCACCUGUGGCGAAGGCGGUCUACCAGAACACGUCCGACGGUGAGGGAUGAAAGCCUGGGGUGAGCAAACCGGAUUAGAUACCCGGGUAGUCCCAGCUGUAAACUAUGCAAAACUCGGUGAUGCAUUGGC
rnacentral:rRNA from 2 species